CAAGUUAGGGAACUACGAUAUCAUUCUUCUGCAAGUUGCUACAGCUUACAGGUCAAAAUGGUUCGCACUCCGCUGAUCAUAGUCGGCGUGAUGAUGGUGGCCUUAGCCACAUCAGUACAGUGUGAUAAAAUUGACUCGCUACUCAGAGCCAAUCAGCGGGUAAUGGAGUUAUUGUCGAGGCUAAACGAGCAUGCGGCAAAUUCCCGUGCAGGUGCCUUAGCAGAUGGGUAAGUU